UACAGAGGUCUCGAGCGUUAGGCGGAAUCACUGGGCUUAAAGCGUGUGUAGGUGGAUGCCUAAGUACCUUGUGAAAUCCCACAGCUCAACUCCAGAACUGCCUUCGAUACUGGAAAGCUCGAGUCCGGGAGAGGUGAGUGGAACUGCGAGUGUAGAGGUGAAAUUCGUAGAUAUUCGCAGGAACACCGGUGGCGAAGGCGGCUCACUGGCCCGGUACUGACGCUGAGGUGCGAAAGCGUGGGGAGCAAACAGG
rnacentral:rRNA from 1 species